AUGUUGGGUUAAGUCCCGCAACGAGCGCAACCCUUGUCUGCUGUUGCCAUCAGGUAAUGCUGGGCACUCUGCAGAGACUGCCGGUGAUAAACCGGAGGAAGGUGGGGAUGACGUCAAGUCAGCAUGGCCUUUAUGUCUGGGGCUACACACGUGCUACAAUGGCCGGUACAAACCGUCGCAAAACCGUAAGGUCGAGCUAAUCGGAGAAAGCCGGUCUCAGUUCGGAUAGCAGGCUGCAACUCGCCUGCUUGAAGUUGGAAUCGCUAGUAAUCGCGGAUCAGCACGCCGCGGUGAAUACGUUCCCGGGCCUUGUACACACCGCCCGUCACAUCACGAAAGCCGGUUGUACUAGAAGUCGCUACAUCAACCCGCAAGGGAGAGAGGCGCCUAAGGUAUGGUCGGUGAUUGGGGUGAAGUCGUAACAAGGUAA
rnacentral:rRNA from 1 species